GCGUGGGAACGUGCCUUUCGGUUCGGGAUAACUCAGGGAAACUUGGGCUAAUACCGAAUACGCCUUCGGGGAAGAUUAUCGCCGAAAGAUCGCCCGCGUCGGAUUAGCUUGUUGGUGAGGUAAAAGACUCACCAAGGCGACGAUCCGUAGCUGGUCUGAGAGGAUGAUCAGCCACACUGGGACUGAGACACGGCCCAGACUCCUACGGGAGGCAGCAGUGGGGAAUAUUGGACAAUGGGCGAAAGCCUGAUCCAGCCAUGCCGCGUGGGUGAAGAAGGCCCUAGGGUUGUAAACCCCUUU
rnacentral:rRNA from 1 species